ensembl:miRNA Mir7646 microRNA 7646
ACAAGAGAACUGAUCAGUGCUGAAGUAAUGUCCUCACUGGUCGCUCUCUUUCAC